UACAGAGGUGGCGAGCGUUGUUCGGAUUUACUGGGCGUAAAGCGUGCGUAGGCGGCAUCGUAUGUCGGAUGUGAAAUCCCAUGGCUCAACUGUGGAAUGGCAUCCGAAACUACGGAGCUUGAGUGCAGGAGGGGAGAGUGGAAUUCCUGGUGUAGCGGUGAAAUGCGUUGAUAUCAGGAGGAACACCGGUGGCGAAGGCGACUCUCUGGAAUGUUACUGACGCUGAGGCACGAGAGCGUGGGGAGCAAACAGGAUUAGAUACCCUGGUAGUCCACGCCGUAAACGUUGCGCACUUGGUGUUGGAGGUAUUGACCCCUCCAGUGCCGGAGCUAACGCGUUAAGUGCGCCGCCUGGGGAGUACGGCCGCAAGGUUAAAACUCAAAGAAAUUGACGGGGGCCCGCACAAGCGGAGGAGCAUGUGGCUUAAUUCGAUGCAACGCGAAGAACCUUACCAGGGCUUGACAUGGUACUGCAGGCCCCGUGAAAGCGGGGCGGCCUUCGAGGGUGUACCACAGGUGCUGCAUGGCUGUCGUCAGUUCGUGCCGUGAGGUGUUGGGUUAAGUCCCGCAACGAACGCAACCCCUGUGUUUAGUUGCCACCACCGGUGAUGAAUCGGUGAGCACUCUAAACAGACUGCCUGUACAAGCAGGAGGAAGGUGGGGAUGACGUCAAGUCAGUAUGGCCCUUACGCCCUGGGCUGCACACGUGCUACAAUGGUCGGUACAGAGGGAUGCAAUACCGCGAGGUGGAGCAAAUCCGCAAAACCGGCCUCAGUUCGGAUUGGAGUCUGAAACUCGACUCCAUGAAGUUGGAUUCGCUAGUAACGGCGCAUCAGCUACGGCGCCGUGAAUACGUUCCCGGGCCU
rnacentral:rRNA from 1 species